rnacentral:lncRNA from 1 species
AGAGAGAGUCAUCUUCUAUAUCUAGGUAUAUAAUGGAUGACAAGGAAAUUAACAAGAGCUAGCUUUUAUGAACCUCCUUAUAGCAUAUAUAAUGUUCACAUGUUCCUUCGAUCCAUAAUCAACUUCAAAGUCAGUACUGACCAAAAUGCUAGUAACUGAAGAAUGUAGAACCAUUUACAAUAAGAAUGAAAAUCACAUGUAGAAAUAUACAUUCAAAUCUGCAAUAAAUAGAAGGCAAAGCUUGAACGUAAGCAAAACCAGAAAUGAAUAUUCCCAAAUAGUGGGCUAACAAAAAGGCUGAGAAGUUUUCUACAGCCACUUCAAUAAAUGGAAAAAUUCAUGUGUGGGACAAAAACAAAACAAAUAACCGGGCCUGGUAUGCAAUCAUGUAAUUGAUGCAACCAUUGAAGGAAGGCAGAAGAAAGAGCCAAUAAGCAUACAUCCACCAAAUGUUACUAUCUUAUUCAUGAAAUUCCUGCUUUGAACAAGAUAUAGCUGCUGCACAUGUAAUGUUUUACCAGCAUCCACGAUAUUUAUUUCAAUCCAUAAAAACCAGAGUUUUGUUCUUUCUAGGGAAUUAUGAAUGCUACAACCUUUCUAUUUGUCACGUAAAAUUUGUGUUAUAAAAUUUCUUAAGUUUUCUAUCCAAUUAGAAAAAAAUAUUGGGCAAUUAGACAAGGUAAGUCCAUAUUUCUUCUUGAUUCUUCCCAAAGGAAGGUUAUAACUGCAUAAUAAUCAGUGAAGUCAUCCAGAAUCUACUUCAAUCAUAAUUUCUUAAUUAUACUCGCUUAUAAUCAAAAUGGGAUUCCUCAUAAUGUUCAUGUUUCACGCAUAGAUGCCAAUUUAGGACCAUUCAAUGGAAAACGAACGCCAUCCAGUCUGUAGAAGCUAAAAUAUAAAAGCAACUCCAUUCAUAAAUCAAAACCCUUGUUUGGCUAAAAUAUCGCAGAGAUUCUAUCUCGAAACCACUGGAGUCUCCGUGAAACAGUAAAGGUUGCAACUUUUCGGUGGAAAACCCCCAGAAAAGAUAUUAUACAUGUAGGACAGCGGGCAAAUUCGCCAUUUAAAUCGGGUAAAAGAUGCCACACGUUCCACGUUAUCGCCGGAAAGAAACUAGUUAUAUCAACAGCAAGUAGGACAAGAGAGGGAAUGAAGAACUCACCAUCUAAAUUCCCACCCGGAAGAAGAGAGGGAUCCGAAGUCGGCGUUGGCUCCGGUGUCGCAGACCAUCGGAUCCAUCGAUAGCGGUCACCGACUGGGGCGACGGGGAUUACGAAUUAGGGUCUAAGAGGGCGCGCGGCUGCGCCAUCGAGCGGGACGAGAUUAAGUGGGGGGUAGCGGGUUAGCGGC